CCGCUGACGGGUGAGUAAUGCCUAGGAAAUUGCCCUGAUGUGGGGGAUAACCAUUGGAAACGAUGGCUAAUACCGCAUGAUGCCUACGGGCCAAAGAGGGGGACCUUCGGGCCUCUCGCGUCAGGAUAUGCCUAGGUGGGAUUAGCUAGUUGGUGAGGUAAGGGCUCACCAAGGCGACGAUCCCUAGCUGGUCUGAGAGGAUGAUCAGCCACACUGGAACUGAGACACGGUCCAGACUCCUACGGGAGGCAGCAGUGGGGAAUAUUGCACAAUGGGCGCAAGCCUGAUGCAGCCAUGCCGCGUGUGUGAAGAAGGCCUUCGGGUUGUAAAGCACUUUCAGUCGUGAGGAAGGUGGUGUAGUUAAUAGCUGCAUUAUUUGACGUUAGCGACAGAAGAAGCACCGGCUAACUCCGUGCCAGCAGCCGCGGUAAUACGGAGGGUGCGAGCGUUAAUCGGAAUUACUGGGCGUAAAGCGCAUGCAGGUGGUUUGUUAAGUCAGA
rnacentral:rRNA from 1 species